rnacentral:rRNA from 1 species
UACGAAGGUGGCAAGCGUUGUUCGGAUUACUGGGCGUACAGGGAGCGUAGGCGGCCAACUAAGUCAGACGUGAAAUCCCCAGGCUCAACCUGGGAACUGCGUCUGAUACUGGAUGGCUUGAAUUCGGGAGAGGGAUGCAGAAUUCCAGGUGUAGCGGUGAAAUGCGUAGAUAUCUGGAGGAAUACCGGUGGCGAAGGCGGCAUCCUGGACCGACAUUGACGCUGAUGAGCGAAAGCUAGGGGAGCAAACGGG